rnacentral:ncRNA from 2 species
GGUCAUGAGUACCAGCGCAAAGCCCCGGCUAGCUGGUCGGCAACCCUCCACCGCGGUGGGGUGCCCCGGGUGAUGACCGGGUUUCCUGAUCCAUAUAGACAUUCGGGUAACAAGCGCAGGUC